GGUGAUUUUGUAGCUAAGCUGGUCUAUUUCAGAAUAAGGGAGGCUGUGGGUAAGAUGAAGGUUAUGUAAAUGUUUUGUUUGUGACAAAUCCCACAAGAGACACAAACACUUUUGGUGAUCUUUCCAUCUGUCCUAGCCAACAUGUUGGCGGGAGGUGAUAGGCAUCACUGGGAACUACACGAGGUGCGAGAAAGUUGACCCAGACAC
rnacentral:misc_RNA from 1 species